rnacentral:rRNA from 1 species
GACGAACGCUGGCGGCGUGCUUAACACAUGCAAGUCGAACGGAAAGGCCCUGCUUGCCGGGUACUCGAGUGGCGAACGGGUGAGUAACACGUGGGUGAUCUGCCCUGCACUUCGGGAUAAGCCUGGGAAACUGGGUCUAAUACCGGAUAGGAGCCAUUUUUAGUGUGAUGGUUGGAAAGUUUUUUCGGUGUAGGAUGAGCUCGCGGCCUAUCAGCUUGUUGGUGGGGUAAUGGCCUACCAAGGCGGCGACGGGUAGCCGGCCUGAGAGGGUGGACGGCCACAUUGGGACUGAGAUACGGCCCAGACUCCUACGGGAGGCAGCAGUGGGGAAUAUUGCACAAUGGGCGCAAGCCUGAUGCAGCGACGCCGCGUAGGGGAUGACGGCCUUCGGGUUGUAAACUCCUUUCGCUAGGGACGAAGCUUUUUGUGACGGUACCUAGAUAAGAAGCACCGGCUAACUACGUG